AUGGACAAGGAGGCGACCUGGGAGUAUUUCCUGGUCCGUUUUUUGUUUUUUCCCUUUUUUUCAGGUUCCAUCAUUUGCAGCUUGGUGGAGAGAAAGAACGGAAGCAAGGAAGAAAGAGUACAGAGGAAAUUAUUGAAAGAAAAGA
rnacentral:ribozyme from 11 species